UACGGAGGGUCCAAGCGUUAUCCGGAAUUAUUGGGUUUAAAGGGUCCGUAGGCGGUUUUGUAAGUCAGUGGUGAAAGCCCAUCGCUCAACGGUGGAACGGCCAUUGAUACUGCAAGACUUGAAUUAUUGUGAAGUAACUAGAAUAUGUAGUGUAGCGGUGAAAUGCUUAGAGAUUACAUGGAAUACCAAUUGCGAAGGCAGGUUACUAACAAUAUAUUGACGCUGAUGGACGAAAGCGUGGGUAGCGAACAGG
rnacentral:rRNA from 1 species